GCCUUGGUAGCUCAGUCAGUAGAGUGUGAGACUCUCAACCUUAGGGUCAUGGGUUCAAGUCCCAUGUAGGGCA